rnacentral:rRNA from 1 species
UACGAAGGGGGCUAGCGUUGCUCGGAAUCACUGGGCGUAAAGCGCACGUAGGCGGCUUUCUAAGUCAGGGGUGAAAUCCUGGAGCUCAACUCCAGAACUGCCUUUGAUACUGGAAAGCUUGAGUUCGGGAGAGGUGAGUGGAACUGCGAGUGUAGAGGUGAAAUUCGUAGAUAUUCGCAAGAACACCAGUGGCGAAGGCGGCUCACUGGCCCGAUACUGACGCUGAUGCGCGAAAGCGUGGGGAGCAAACGGG